AAGCGAAGGCGGAGGCUUACCAUGCAAGUCGAGCGGUAGCACAGAGAGCUUGCUCUCGGGUGACGAGCGGCGGACGGGUGAGUAAUGUCUGGGAAACUGCCUGAUGGAGGGGGAUAACUACUGGAAACGGUAGCUAAUACCGCAUAACGUCGCAAGACCAAAGUGGGGGACCUUCGGGCCUCAUGCCAUCAGAUGUGCCCAGAUGGGAUUAGCUGGUAGGUGGGGUAACGGCUCACCUAGGCGACGAUCCCUAGCUGGUCUGAGAGGAUGACCAGCCACACUGGAACUGAGACACGGUCCAGACUCCUACGGGAGGCAGCAGUGGGGAAUAUUGCACAAUGGGCGCAAGCCUGAUGCAGCCAUGCCGCGUGUGUGAAGAAGGCCUUCGGGUUGUAAAGCACUUUCAGCGGGGAGGAAGGCGGUGAGGUUAAUAACCUCAUCGAUUGACGUUACCCGCAGAAGAAGCACCGGCUAACUCCGUGCCAGCAGCCGCGGUAAUACGGAGGGUGCAAGCGUUAAUCGGAAUUACUGGGCGUAAAGCGCACGCAGGCGGUCUGUCAAGUCGGAUGUGAAAUCCCCGGGCUCAACCUGGGAACUGCAUUCGAAACUGGCAGGCUAGAGUCUUGUAGAGGGGGGUAGAAUUCCAGGUGUAGCGGUGAAAUGCGUAGAGAUCUGGAGGAAUACCGGUGGCGAAGGCGGCCCCCUGGACAAAGACUGACGCUCAGGUGCGAAAGCGUGGGGAGCAAACAGGAUUAGAUACCCUGGUAGUCCACGCUGUAAACGAUGUCGAUUUGGAGGUUGUGCCCUUGAGGCGUGGCUUCCGGAGCUAACGCGUUAAAUCGACCGCCUGGGGAGUACGGCCGCAAGGUUAAAACUCAAAUGAAUUGACGGGGGCCCGCACAAGCGGUGGAGCAUGUGGUUUAAUUCGAUGCAACGCGAAGAACCUUACCUGGUCUUGACAUCCACAGAACUUUCCAGAGAUGGAUUGGUGCCUUCGGGAACUGUGAGACAGGUGCUGCAUGGCUGUCGUCAGCUCGUGUUGUGAAAUGUUGGGUUAAGUCCCGCAACGAGCGCAACCCUUAUCCUUUGUUGCCAGCGGUUAGGCCGGGAACUCAAAGGAGACUGCCAGUGAUAAACUGGAGGAAGGUGGGGAUGACGUCAAGUCAUCAUGGCCCUUACGACCAGGGCUACACACGUGCUACAAUGGCAUAUACAAAGAGAAGCGACCUCGCGAGAGCAAGCGGACCUCAUAAAGUAUGUCGUAGUCCGGAUUGGAGUCUGCAACUCGACUCCAUGAAGUCGGAAUCGCUAGUAAUCGUAGAUCAGAAUGCUACGGUGAAUACGUUCCCGGGCCUUGUACACACCGCCCGUCACACCAUGGGAGUGGGUUGCAAAAGAAGUAGGUAGCUUAACCUUCGGGAGGGCGCUACCACCUAGGAUACAUGGGGUU
rnacentral:rRNA from 1 species